AUGCCAGCAGCAACUGUGGAUCAUAGCCAAAGAAUUUGUGAAGUUUGGGCUUGCAACCUGGAUGAAGAGAUGAAGAAAAUUCGUCAAGUUAUUUGAAAGUAUAAUUAUGUUGUUAGGGACACCGAGUUUCCAGGUGUGGUUGCAAGACCCAUUGGAGAAUUCAGGAGCAAUGCUGACUAUCAGUACCAACUAUUGCGAUGUAUUGUAGACUUGUUAAAGAUAAUUCAGCUAGGACUGACAUUUAUGAAUGAGCAAGGAGAAUACCCUCCAGGAACUUCAAUUUGGCAGUUUAAUUUUAAGUUUAAUUUGAUGGAGGACAUGUAUGCCCAGGACUCUAUAGAGCUACUAACAACAUCUGGCAUCCAGUUUAAAAAACAUGAGGAGAAAGGAAUUGAGCCCCAGUACUUUGCAGAACUUCUUAUGACUUCGGGAGUGGUCUUCUGUGAAGGGGUCAAAUGGUUGUCAUUUCAUAGUGGUUAUGACUUUGGCUAUUUAAUCAAAAUCCUGACCAACUCUAACUUGCCUGAAGAAGAACUUGACUUCUUUGAGAUCCUUCGAUUAUUUUUCCCUGUCAUUUAUGAUGUGAAGUACCUCAUGAGGAGCUGCAAAAAUCGCAAAGGUGGAUUACAAGAAGUUGCUGAACAAUUGGAGCUGGAACGAAUAGGACCACAGCAUCAGGCAGGAUCUGAUUCACUGCUCACAGGAAUGGCCUUUUUUAAAAGGAGAGAAAUGUUCUUUGAAGAUCAUAUUGACGAUGCCAAAUAUUGUGGUCAUUUGUAUGGCCUUGGUUCUGGUUCAUCCUAUGUACAGAAUGGCACAGGGAAUGCAUAUGAAGAGGAAGCCAACAAGCAGUCGUGACAUGAAAUAGUCCUUUUAUUUUUAUUUUAUUUGAGCUACACACAUGCUUGUAUAUAGGUUUUAUCUCUGGUUGAAUCCUUGACAAUAGACAGUACCUUUCUUUUUUCCCUUUCAUAGCCCAUUUUAUUUUCUGCCUUUCAGUACUAAGUAUGACCAUUCCUAUCUCAGAUCUUAAUAAA